CGUAGUUCUACCAUCCUAUACCCAAUUGCAUGCUGCCUAGGUACUUGGAAACUUUAGUAUAGUUGUAGUAUCAUGUGGUAGGAACACAACAACCCCGACACUUGGCCCCGGGACGACAAUUUCUUAAAGCUAUGCUUGAGUAGACGGGUUAUCGUUGAGUGUAUACCACGAGUGAUGUGAGAUUGAUACAAUAAUCAAGAC
rnacentral:lncRNA from 1 species